UGCAGUCGAGCGGUAGAGAGAAGCUUGCUUCUCUUGAGAGCGGCGGACGGGUGAGUAAUGCCUAGGAAUCUGCCUGGUAGUGGGGGAUAACGUUCGGAAACGGACGCUAAUACCGCAUACGUCCUACGGGAGAAAGCAGGGGACCUUCGGGCCUUGCGCUAUCAGAUGAGCCUAGGUCGGAUUAGCUAGUUGGUGAGGUAAUGGCUCACCAAGGCGACGAUCCGUAACUGGUCUGAGAGGAUGAUCAGUCACACUGGAACUGAGACACGGUCCAGACUCCUACGGGAGGCAGCAGUGGGGAAUAUUGGACAAUGGGCGAAAGCCUGAUCCAGCCAUGCCGCGUGUGUGAAGAAGGUCUUCGGAUUGUAAAGCACUUUAAGUUGGGAGGAAGGGCAUUAACCUAAUACGUUAGUGUUUUGACGUUACCGACAGAAUAAGCACCGGCUAACUCUGUGCCAGCAGCCGCGGUAAUACAGAGGGUGCAAGCGUUAAUCGGAAUUACUGGGCGUAAAGCGCGCGUAGGUGGUUUGUUAAGUUGGAUGUGAAAUCCCCGGGCUCAACCUGGGAACUGCAUUCAAAACUGACUGACUAGAGUAUGGUAGAGGGUGGUGGAAUUUCCUGUGUAGCGGUGAAAUGCGUAGAUAUAGGAAGGAACACCAGUGGCGAAAGGCGACCACCCUGGACUAAUACUGACACUGAGGUGCGAAAGCGUGGGGAGCAAC
rnacentral:rRNA from 1 species